UUUGUAUGCUGUAAGUUCUCUAUCUUCCUAAUACAUAUGGUAUCAACAGUUCUUUCUUGUUAAAAACUAGAAUCAUUGGCAUUUAAUUAUUCUCAGUAAUGAAAUGAUUGACUCGUGAGAAAAUAAGUUCAAAAAGAAGAAGUAAAGACCAAUGAAAUUCAGAUAUUACAAAACUGAACUAGCAUUCUAGGACAGAUAUAUUUAUUUUCAUUCUACCAUGUCACAUUCACAAGACGAAUAAGCUGGCAUGACCUGGGUACAUACAAGCUGGGGACAUAUUAAAGAGUAUUGUACGUGUAUGUGAUAUUGGGGCAUGUGCAUGGUUUUGUGUCUGAAAAUCUGUGGCUGUUGACUGUUGAGAAACUUUGUUUUGUGACUUGACAUGGUGGAAUUAAAUAUAAUGUUAAGAUUGAGAGAGAAAACAUGGUAGGUAAUCUUUGUAUGAUUUGGUCACAUCUCCAGUACUAACUGUUGGAAUGAUGGAAGAUUAGAGAACCUACAGAUACCAGAUAUAACUGUAUGUGUUAUUUGUACUCAGUUUAUAAGAUUUAGUUAAGACAUUCAGUUCAUUUUCAUGCUUUGUUUUUUCUAAUUUGGCCUCAUUAGCAUGCUGCUGAAACUGAUUUAUUUUAUAUUUAUAUGCAUCUCAUUAAUUAGCCCUGUGAUACAUGUACCCCUACCUAGUCAGUAACAGACUGGUUUAGUUAAAUAUGCCGUUGACAGGGCUAUUUUGGAGAAAUGACUACAACAUUGUGGCAUGAUAGAAUAUUACACUGUCACAUUAAAAAAUGAAAAGUUAAUUAUCUGAAAUAUGUUUUAUAAUAUUUAGGUUACAAUUUGGAGAUUUUUGUUUUUAAUGAGUGAAAUAUUCAAUUAAUGUAAAUCACAUUCCAUGUGGGAUUUAUUUUGGGUUAAUAUUCAAGGACAAUCAAUCCUUCACGAUUAUUUGUACAAAAAUAACACCUUUGGAUGGUGGUCAAGCUAUUGGUUUCUUAUAUAGUUAAUUAUAGAGUUAAUGAUUCUAACAGCUCAUUACUUACUUAAAGUCAUUUCUAGAUCAGUGUUUGCAAAAUCAAAUAUUCCUGAAGAUGUCAGAUCACGAAACGUAAUUAACAGGUUUACAGUUUUACAAUCUUGAAUUACUCACUGAAUUUUUGUAUUCAUUACCUCGUUAAUAAAAGAAUUUUUUUAUUUCACAACGCUAAAUAUACAUAUAUUGUUGCACCUUUUUCUGCAUUAUUUAUGGUUCUAUCAUUAAGAAAUUUAGCAAAAUUGCAAUGUUACAUUUUGAAUAUAUAGUUACAACUUUUCUUUGCCCAUAUGCCUCCUGUUUAAAAAAAAAAAAAAAAAAUUAUAACUAACAAAACA